CUUGGCCCUUUAUUACUCAGAAUAAGCCAGGCCUGUCCCUGCAGGGUGCCUGCGGGAAUCUCAUACCCUGGGGCAGACAGAUAAGAGUGGGUACUUAGCCUGUGCACUCCAGGCUUGUUGGAGCUCUCAAGGGCAAAGCAGAUGAUGUCAGCGGCUGACGAGGACCCACCGAUAGCCCCACAGGCCUCGCACUGGGCUCCAGAAUUCACAAAGGAAACCAAGAGAGAUGAACUUUGUCCCUAAGCCGGUCUCAGCCACAGGAAGGGUCAGGAUGGAUAAGGGAACAUCAUAGUCACUAGCCAUGAUCAAUGAACCUGUUACAAGAAGACGAAGGGUCUAGAAGGAGAGAGCUGCCACUCUGGUGAGAGUCUAGGCUGCUUCCCAGGGCACGGCCACCACUGCCUGUCCCCACCUGGCCCCUGGCUUCUUGCCUUGCAGCUGGCUCACCACAGCUGGACAGCAAAGUUGUCUCUGCCGUGACCUGAGUGUCCACUCAGUGGUCACCUCCUCUCCCUCAGCUCCUCCUCAGUGGCACAAUGGGAAUAGUGGCCAGCCCCUCCUGCGGAGUCCAGAGACAGCCUCAGAAGUGGCAUCAGUAGGAUGUAGGCAGUGACAACUUGAGACAUCCGAGUGCUGCCUGGGCAGGGCCUGGCACUGGGCCUCUACAGCAGCACCAUGAGUGUGUGCCCCAUGGGUGCCCAGAGGUUGGAGAAGAGCAAGACCUUAUCUAAGCACCCACGGCAGUGACACCAAGCACUGGUCAGCACGUCAUUCCCUGCCUCCAUGUUGGCUCUGUGCCUUUCAAAGUUUCUAAAAUGAAAAGUCGGUGUACUUUUACUAUUAGGGACGUGACGGCAAAUGUUAAAAAACGUCCCCUCUCAUCGGCUCCAGCAGUUAGUCACACAGAUAGUCACACGGCAACUGGAUCGUCUGUCCUUAUGGGCUGUGUCUCCUGAGGGCCUUGACGAGCCUCGCCAUCUUCUCUCCUACUUAGCUUUCUGUUGCUGAGGUGAACACCGUGCACAGGAAGCUACCUGUGGAGGGAGGGUUUAUUUCAUUUCUCAUAUCACACAUCACCAUCGAAGGAGCCCAGGCAGAAUCAGAAGGAUGACUGUGGAGGAGCACCGGGCUAUGACUGAUCCCCAAUCUAUCUGUCUGUCUCUGUCUGUCUCUGUCUCUGUCUCUCUCUCUCUCUCUGUCUCUCUCUCUCUCUCUCUCUCUCUCUCUCUCUCUCUUAAAAUGACCUACUCGUUUGGCUGAGGGAAGACCACAGAGUCAUCAAGGUGCCAGGAGCAUGGGCACCCGCUCUGUUUGCUGCUUUGCUUCAAGAGUCUGAUUGAGCCGCACAACCUGACAUCUGGCCAGAGGAUCCCAGAAUUUCAUGGACAGCACAGGCCUGACGCAGGACACUUAGCAGGAUGGCCCGGAGAGCUCUUAGAGGACUCUGUGGAGAAUCGUUCUUGUUCUGACUCAAGGUGAUUACGUUUCCACCAACAAACUCAGGGGACACCACUGUUUCCCAGGUUAGCGCAUGUUUCCUUUCAAUAGGGAUGGGAAUACAUGCUCACAUAUUUACUCUAAACCCUUUAGUCAAAACCAGAACCAGGUGUUUGAAAAGGAAGCCGUGGUUUGGAUAUCUUAUCUCUUAGAUCAAGCUCUUAGAUACAUUGUAUCCGAAGAUGAAAAUGUACGCAGUAAGGAAACCAAGUGGUCAAGAAUCUUGGGGGGAGGGGGAGAGCCAGAUCCUAACACAUCUGCUGUGACUGUCAUCACCAUUGCCACCACCACCACACCACCAAUAUCACCAGCGUCACCAGCAUCAACGCAAUCACCAUCUCCACAAUCACUGUCAUCAUCACCCUUCUCACCAUCAUCACCACCAUCCCUGUCAGCAUCCCUGUCACCAUCACUAACUUUCCCCACUCACUUACCUGCCAUGCGCCAUGCCAUCUGUCUCAGCAGCCAUGGUCUGUCCUGUCGGCACCUCCCCCUCGUUCUCUCUCCUAGCACACCCAUCCUUCCUUCCAAGCAUCUACUUGUUUAUCAGUCCAUUGUUUCUCUCUUGUUCUGUGGUGGAUUUCAUUUGUCUAACUGACUGCGGGAUACAUACCCCCCAAUCUUAGCCCAGUGCUUGUCGCAUAGCCAAUGCCCAAUAAAAGCUGAUUAAAAACA